GCCCUGGCCAGCCUUAGCUCAGUGGCAGGGCUUCUCUGCUUUGCAUGCAGGAAGGUCCCAGGUUCAGUUCCUGGCAUUUCCAGGUAGGGCU